rnacentral:rRNA from 1 species
UACGGAGGGUGCAAGCGUUAUCCGGAUUUACUGGGUUUAAAGGGUGCGUAGGUGGGUUGGUAAGUCAGUGGUGAAAUCUUCGAGCUUAACUCGGAAACUGCCAUUGAUACUAUCAAUCUUGAAUAUCCUGGAGGUAAGCGGAAUAUGUCAUGUAGCGGUGAAAUGCUUAGAUAUGACAUAGAACACCCAUUGCGAAGGCAGCUUACUACGGGAUCAUUGACACUGAGGCACGAAAGCGUGGGGAUCAAACAGG